CUUGAACUCUCAUAAUUUACCAGUGAUAUUUAGCAAUAUGUAGUGGCAACCCAACAAAAUCAAAAUAAAAUCUUUAGAUAUAGUUAAUAUAUGGUACAAACUCUCUACCAUAAGUUUCGACUAGAUGACAGGUCAUGGAUAAAUCAUCAAAUUCCAUCAUCAGUCAUAUGAUAGAUCCAAUCAACUUAAGUCUAAUAGUGAUUUUGAAUGGAAACUCCUUUCUAUUAAUCACACUGCUAUGGCCAUAGACUUGUGAACUUGGGUUCUCAAAUUUUAUAGGACUACUCUUCUCUAUCA
rnacentral:lncRNA from 1 species